UACCUUAGUACGGCGAGUGAAGCGGUAAAAGCUCAAAUUUGAAAUCUGGUACUUUCAGUGCCCGAGUUGUAAUUUGUAGAAUUUGUCUUUGAUUAGGUCCUUGUCUAUGUUCCUUGGAACAGGACGUCAUAGAGGGUGAGAAUCCCGUUUGGCGAGGAUACCUUUUCUUUGUAAGACUUUUUCGAAGAGUCGAGUUGUUUGGGAAUGCAGCUCAAAGUGGGUGGUAAAUUCCAUCUAAAGCUAAAUAUUGGCGAGAGACCGAUAGCGAACAAGUACAGUGAUGGAAAGAUGAAAAGAACUUUGAAAAGAGAGUGAAAAAGUACGUGAAAUUGUUGAAAGGGAAGGGCAUUUGAUCAGACAUGGUGUUUUUUUAAUGUGCAAGUCUCUCGUGGACAUGUGCCUCUGGAAAUUAACACUGGGCCAACAUCAGUUCUGGCGGCAGGAUAAAUCAUUAAGAAUGUAGCUACCUCGGUAGUGUUAUAGCUUUUUGGAAUACUGCCAGCUGGGAUUGAGGACUGCGCUUCGGCAAGGA
rnacentral:rRNA from 2 species